CAGUAGCCGCGGUAAUACGGAGGGGGCUAGCGUUGUUCGGAAUUACUGGGCGUAAAGCGUACGUAGGCGGCUUUGUAAGUUAGAGGUGAAAGCCCGGGGCUCAACCCCGGAAUUGCCUUUAAGACUGCAUCGCUUGAAUCGCGGAGAGGUGAGUGGAAUUCCGAGUGUAGAGGUGAAAUUCGUAGAUAUUCGGAAGAACACCAGUGGCGAAGGCGGCUCACUGGACGCGUAUUGACGCUGAGGUACGAAAGCGUGGGGAGCAAACAGGAUUAGAUACCCCGGUAGUCCCUGUCUCUUAUAC
rnacentral:rRNA from 1 species